rnacentral:rRNA from 1 species
GCGACGUCGCGAGAAGUCCACUGAACCUUAUCAUUUAGAGGAAGGAGAAGUCGUAACAAGGUUUCCGUAGGUGAACCUGCGGAAGGAUCAUUGUCGUUGCCUCGAAACACGACCGCGAACACGUAACGUAAGGCCGCCGGGGGGACCUCCCCCCCGGCCCCGCCGGCCCCGGCCCCUCGGCCGGGCGCCGGAACACGGCGCGGACUGUCGCCAAGGAACACCGAUCUGCCACGGCACGCCGCGCUCCGCGGCGCCGCCGAGGCCAAAGAAAUAUCAAUACGACUCUCGGCAACGGAUAUCUCGGCUCUCGCAUCGAUGAAGAACGUAGCGAAAUGCGAUACGUGGUGUGAAUUGCAGAAUCCCGUGAACCAUCGAGUCUUUGAACGCAAGUUGCGCCCGAGGGACCCUCCCGAGGGCACGCCUGCCUGGGCGUUAGAAGCCCAUCAACGCCCGGUCACCCGACCGCGUGCGGACAGUGGCCCCCCGAGCCGCAGAGGCACGGCGGGCUGAAGAGCGAGGCCGUCGACCGCGUCGGGAGCGGCAAGUGGUGGGCUACAGCGCAUGCCGAGCCCGACCCGCGUCGACACACGGCCCUUCCGGACCCCACGACGAGGAGACCGUCGCCGCGGCGGCGACUCCUUCGGACCGAUACCCCAGGUCAGGCGGGGCCACCCGCCGAGUUUAAGCAUAUAAAUAAGC